UCCGUAGGUGAACCUGCGGAAGGAUCAUUAUUGAAUUAUGUUUCUAGAUAGGUUGUAGCUGGCUCUUUAGAGCAUGUGCACGCCUGUUUGGACUUCAUUUUCAUCCACCUGUGCACCUAUUGUAGUCUUUGGUUGGGUUAGGAGGAAGUGGUCAUUGUGUCAGCAUCUGCUGGAUGUGAGGACUUGCAUUGUGAAAGCUUUGCUGUCCUUGAUGUGAUCAUGGAAUCUCUUUCUCACUAGAGUCUAUGUCACUCAUUAUACUCUGUCGAAUGUCAUUGAAUGUCUUUACAUGGGCUUAUAUGCCUAUGAAAAUUGUAAUACAACUUUCAGCAACGGAUCUCUUGGCUCUCGCAUCGAUGAAGAACGCAGCGAAAUGCGAUAAGUAAUGUGAAUUGCAGAAUUCAGUGAAUCAUCGAAUCUUUGAACGCAUCUUGCGCUCCUUGGUAUUCCGAGGAGCAUGCCUGUUUGAGUGUCAUUAAAUUCUCAACUCCCUUUGAUUUCUUCAAGGGUGAGCUUGGAUUGUGGAGGCUUUGCUGGCUGUAAAGUCAGCUCCUCUGAAAUGCAUUGGCAAAGGUUGUGUGCAUGAAAUAUGGCCUUUCGGUGUGAUAAUGAUCACUGUGGGCUGGUUGCUUUAACACCUAUGUCCAACUUUUUCCAGCUGGAAAAAAACACUUGACAACUUGACCUCAAAUCAGGUAGGACUACCCGCUGAACUUAAGCAUAUCAAUAAGCGGAGGAAAAGAAACUAACAAGGAUUCCCCUAGUAACUGCGAGUGAAGCGGGAAAAGCUCAAAUUUUGAAUCUGGCAGUCUUUGGCUGUCCGAGUUGUAAUCUAGAGAAGCGUUUUCCGUGCUGGACCGUGUACAAGUCUCCUGGAACGGAGCGUCAUAGAGGGUGAGAAUCCCGUCUCUGACACGGACUCCCAGUGCUUUGUGAUACGCUCCCGACGAGUCGAGUUGUUUGGGAAUGCAGCUCAAAUUGGGUGGUAAAUUCCAUCUAAAGCUAAAUAUAGGCGAGAGACCGAUAGCGAACAAGUACCGUGAGGGAAAGAUGAAAAGAACUUUGGAAAGAGAGUUAAACAGUACGUGAAAUUGCUGAAAGGGAAACGCUUGAAGU
rnacentral:rRNA from 1 species